ensembl:lncRNA FTX FTX transcript, XIST regulator
AUUCAGGCGUGUCUCUCUCUCUCUCUCUCUUUCAUGCCGCUCUCUCCACCCCAUCUUGGGACGGCCAGCUCUAAGAAUUCCUGCUACGACACUGAAUUCAACCAGGAGGUGAUGCCACACUCAAUCAGAAACUAUGCUACUGCUGAAGAGGUAUAUUGAGCCCUGCCUGGUUAACCUCCAGUGAGGUUAUUAGAGAAUUGGGAGAGGCUCAAAUCAGCAUCCUGCACCUAGUUAUCAAACCAUUGUGAAGUCUUGAUUCCUGGAUGGCCAGAAAACUUGUCAUUGGUCAAGAGCAACAUUAAGAUCUGCCUGUUACUCAUACUGAUGCUUCCUGCCCAGCAAGUUCAUCAGAGGGCGAGGAUGAAUUACGGUUGCCAUGAAUGUCCUUGUGAGGCAGUUGGGAAGCCUUGGCUGGAUUGUGAAGGAUAUUUGAAAAGUAUUUUAGAGUCCACCAGAUCAUCCAUGUGAGUGACCAUGCAGCAAAAGAAGGAGGGUCCUCUCAGUGAUUAAGGUAACAUAGUGAUUAAGGAUUAUGAAGUAUUAAUUCUUCCACUGAUAUCUCAAAAGGUGAUCUGGACAAAGGAACAGGUAUCUCAGACAAGGUCUCUCUGUCACCCAGACUGGAACAUGGUGGAGCAAUCAUAGCUGAUGGCAGCUUUGAACUCCUGGGCUCAAGCCAUCCUCCCGCCUCAGCCUCCUGAGUAGCUGGGACUACAGACAGAAGGUACUGGAUAAAAAGAACCCUGAAGCAUGGGAUGAUUUUUUCCCAAUAUUCACUGUGAGAAUCUGUCAGUGCAGAUGCUUUUUAGUUUGAUGCAACUCAAGUUGUCUGUUGCGGGAAGUCAGGGACCCCAAACGGAGGGACUGGCUGAAGCCAUGGCGGAAGAACGUGGAUCGUGAAGAUUUCAUGGACAUUUAUUAGUUCCCCAAAUUAAUACUUUUAUAAUUUCUUAUGCCUGUCUUUACUGCAAUCUCUAAACAUAAAUUGUGAAGAUUUCAUGGACACUUAUCACUUCCCCAAUCAAUACCCUUGUGAUUUCCUAUGCCUGUUUUAAUCUCUUAAUCCUGUCAUCUCGUAAGCCGAGGAGGACGUAUGUCGCCUCAGGACCCUGUGAUAAUUGUGUUAAGUGCAGAAAUUGUAGAGCAUGUGUGUUUAAACAAUAUGAAAUCUAGGCACCUUGAAAAAAGAACAGGAUAACAGCAAUGUUCAGGGAAUAAGAGAGAUAACCUUAAACUCUGACCGCCGGUGAGCCAGGCGGAACAGAGCCAUAUUUCUCUUCUUUCAAAAGCAAAUGGGAGAAAUAUCGCCGAAUUCUUUUUCUCAGCAAGGAACAUCCCUGAGAAAGAGAAUGUGCCCCUGAGGGUGGGCCUCUAAAAUGGCCCCCUUGGGUGUAGCUGUCUUCUAUGGUCGAGACUGUAGGGAUGAAAUAAGCCCCAGUCUCCCAUAGCGCUCCCAGGCUUAUUAGGACGAGGAAAUUCCCACCUAAUAAAUUUUGGUCAGACAGGUUGCUCUCAAACCCUGUCUCCUGAUAAGAUGUUAUCAAUGACGAUGGUGCCCGAAACUUCAUUAGCAAUUUUAAUUUCAACCCAGUCCUGUGGUCCUGUGAUCUCGCCCUGCCUCCAUUUGCCUUGUGAUAUUCUAUUACCUUGUGAAGCACGUGAUCUCUGUGACCCACCUCCUAUUCGUAUACUCCCUCCCCUUUGAAAAUCCCUAAUAAAAACUUACUGGUUUUACGGCUCAGGGGGCAUCACGGAACCUACCGACAUGUGAUGUCUCCCCAGGAUGCCCAGCUUUAAAAUUUCUCUCUUUUGUACUCUGUCCCUUUAUUUCUCAACCCGGCCAAUGCUUAGGGAAAAUAGAAAAGAACCUAUGUGACUAUCUGGGCAGGUUCCCUGAUAGUUGUCUGGCUGUUUUUGCUGCCCAUGCUUUUAAGGAUGUAUCCAAGAAAUCAUUGCCCAGAACAACAUCAUAGAGCUUUUCCCCUAUAUUUUCUACUAGUAGUUUUACAGUUUCAAAGGCAACAUUUCAGGCUUUAAUCCAUUUUGAGUUGAUUUUUCUAUAUGCUAUGAGAAAAUGGUUCAAUUUCACAUAUAGAUAUACAGAUAUCUCAAAACAAUUUAUUUAUUUAUUUGUCCU